rnacentral:rRNA from 1 species
GACAGAGGGUGCAAACGUUGUUCGGAAUUACUGGGCGUAAAGCGCGUGUAGGCGGCCCUGCAAGUCGGAUGUGAAAUCCCACGGCUCAACCGUGGAAGUGCAUUCGAAACUGCAGGGCUAGAGUCCUGGAGAGGAAGGUGGAAUGCUUGGUGUAGAGGUGAAAUUCGUAGAUAUCAAGCGGAACACCGGUGGCGAAGGCGGCCUUCUGGACAGUGACUGACGCUGAGACGCGAAAGCGUGGGGAGCAAACAGGGAUUAGAAACCC